rnacentral:rRNA from 1 species
UACGUAGGGGGCAAGCGUUGUCCGGAUUUAUUGGGCGUAAAGAGCGUGUAGGCGGUUCGGUAGGUCCGUUGUGAAAACUCGAGGCUCAACCUCGAGACGCCGAUGGAAACCCUCGAACUAGAGUCCGGAAGAGGAGAGUGGAAUUCCUGGUGUAGAGGUGAAAUUCGUAGAUAUUCGCAAGAACACCAGUGGCGAAGGCGGCUCACUGGCCCGGUACUGACGCUGAGGUGCGAAAGCGUGGGGAGCAAACAGG